GACGAACGCUGGCGGCGUGCUUAACACAUGCAAGUCGAACGGAAAGGCCCUGCUUUUGUGGGGUGCUCGAGUGGCGAACGGGUGAGUAACACGUGAGUAACCUGCCCUUGACUUUGGGAUAACUUCAGGAAACUGGGGCUAAUACCGGAUAGGAGCUCCUGCUGCAUGGUGGGGGUGGGAAAGUUUCGGCGGUUGGGGAUGGACUCGCGGCUUAUCAGCUUGCUGGUGGGGUAGUGGCUUACCAAGGCUUUGACGGGUAGCCGGCCUGAGAGGGUGACCGGCGACAAUGGGACUGAGAUACGGCCCAGACUCCUACGGGAGGCAGCAGUGGGGAAUCUUGCACAAUGGGCGGAAGCCUGAUGCAGCAACGCCGCGUGCGGGAUGACGGCCUUCGGGUUGUAAACCGCUUUCGCCUGUGACGAAGCGUGAGUGACGGUAAUGGGUAAAGAAGCACCGGCUAACUACGUG
rnacentral:rRNA from 1 species